rnacentral:rRNA from 1 species
UACGGGGGGGGCAAGCGUUGUUCGGAAUUACUGGGCGUAAAGGGCCAGUAGGCGGCCAACUAAGUCCGACGUGAAAUCCCAAGGCUUAACCUUGGAACUGCGUCGGAUACUGGAUGGCUUGAAUUCGGGAGAGGGAUGCAGAAUUCCAGGUGUAGCGGUGAAAUGCGUAGAUAUCGUGAGGAGCACCAGAGGCGAAGGCGGCUACCUGGACAAUUGCUGACGCUCAGGCACGAAAGCGUGGGGAGCAAAAGGG